rnacentral:rRNA from 1 species
AUUGAACGCUGGCGGCAGGCCUAACACAUGCAAGUCGAGCGGAUGAAGGGGGCUUGCUCCUGGAUUCAGCGGCGGACGGGUGAGUAAUGCCUAGGAAUCUGCCUGGUAGUGGGGGAUAACGUCCGGAAACGGGCGCUAAUACCGCAUACGUCCUGAGGGAGAAAGUGGGGGAUCUUCGGACCUCACGCUAUCAGAUGAGCCUAGGUCGGAUUAGCUAGUUGGUGGGGUAAAGGCCUACUAAGGCGACGAUCCGUAACUGGUCUGAGAGGAUGAUCAGUCACACUGGAGGUGAGACGCGGUCCAGACUCCUACGGGAGGCAGCAGUGGGGAAUAUUGGACAAAGGGCGGAAGCCUGGUCCAGCCGUGCGGCGUGUGUGGAGAAAGUCUUCGGAUUGUAAAGCACUUUAAGUUGGGAGGAAGGGCAGUAAGUUGAUACCUUGCUGUUUUGACGUUACCAACAGAAUAAGCACCGGCUAACUUCGUG